AUACGGAGGAUCCGAGCGUUAUCCGGAUUUAUUGGGUUUAAAGGGUGCGCAGGCGGGAGAUUAAGUCGGCGGUGAAAUUUUGCAGCUCAACUGUAAAAGUGCCUUCGAAACUGGUUUCCUUGAGUAUAGAUGAAGUAGGCGGAAUUUGUGGUGUAGCGGUGAAAUGCAUAGAUAUCACGAGGAACUCCGAUUGCGCAGGCAGCUUACUAAACUACUACUGACGCUCAGGCACGAAGGCGUGGGGAUCAAACAGGAUUAGAUACCCUGGUAGUCCACGCAGUAAACGAUGAUUACUAGCUGUUUGCGAUACAAUGUAAGCGGCUGAGCGAAAGCGUUAAGUAAUCCACCUGGGGAGUACGUUCGCAAGAAUGAAACUCAAAUGAAUUGACGGGG
rnacentral:rRNA from 1 species